GACGAAGGGGGCAAGCGUUGUUCGGAAUUACUGGGCGUAAAGAGCGUGUAGGCGGCCACACAGGUCUGCUGUGAAAACUCGAGGCUCAACCUCGAGCUGUCGGUGGAAACCGUGUGGCUAGAGUCCGGAAGAGGAGAGUGGAAUUCCCGGUGUAGCGGUGAAAUGCGCAGAUAUCGGGAAGAACACCCGUGGCGAAGGCGGCUCUCUGGGACGGUACUGACGCUGAGACGCGAAAGCGUGGGGAGCGAACAGG
rnacentral:rRNA from 1 species